rnacentral:piRNA from 1 species
UGAUUCAUUCUGAUACCUCUUGUAGUUGC